AUGGAGACCAAGCAGAGCACGGAAGGGAAAUGGUCGCACGGGAAGACCAUGCCGGUGAAGAACGUCCAGGCGCUGGCCGCGAACGCGGCGGAGCUGACGGAGGAGGCCAUCAAGCGGUACAUCAGGCCGGCGAGGGCCGACGAUGUGGCCGUUGCUGCUCACGGCGAUGAUAGCAGCCAGAGCAUUCCUGUGAUCGACCUUGGUAGGCUCCUCGAUCCCCAGAGCUAUCAGCUGGAGGGAGGGCUCGAAUCGAUUAGUACUAGCUGCAAGCAGAAACACAUAGAGGUGAAAAAUCAUGGAAUUCCUGACACAGUUCUUGAAAACAUGAGGAACAACCUCGAGCACUUCUUCAGGCUUCGCCUUGAUGAGAAGAACAGAUUUGGCCGGUUGCCUGGAGACCUCCAAGGCUAUGGCCAAGCAUUUGUUGAGUCCGAACAUCAAACGCUCGACUGGUGUGACAGGCUUUACCUAGUGACCCAGCCACCUCACGAUCGCGAAAUGAGACCAUGCCCUACAACUCCUGUCAGCUUCAGGGAAUCCAUUGAGUCGUACUCCUCUGAGCUGAUGAGGGUGGCUGGCUCGCUCAUGGCAAUCAUCGCUAGAAACCUAGGCGUUGAUCUCCUCAGAGAUACGUAUGUGAGUCAGGCAUUGAGGAUGACCUACUACCCUGCAUGCCCCAUGGCUCAUGAUAAGGUUUUGGGGAUUUCACCACAUUCCGACAUUUCUAUGCUAACGCUGGUAUGGGAGCUGAAUAUGGUGGGAGGGCUCCAGAUCAAGAGACAAGAUGCAUGGGUGCCGGUAAAACCCCACCCCAAGGCAUUGGUGGUGAAUGUUGGUGACUUUCUUGAGAUAUUGACAAACGGAAAGUACCAAAGCAUUGAGCACAGGGUCACCGUUAAUCCUCGCAAGGAGAGGAUGUCCAUUUCUGCUUUUCACCUCCCAAAGUUUGAUAUGAGCGUGGGCCCACUAUCUGAAAUAGUUGGAGCCGAGCUCAAGAAAUACAAGACCCUGAGGGUGGACGAGGUAGCUAAGGUUGUUUUCUCGAUCAGACUUGACGGGAAGAAAACCAAGGACUAUGCCAUGCUUAGCGUCUGA
rnacentral:rRNA from 1 species